rnacentral:rRNA from 1 species
UGAUCCUGGCUCAGGAUGAACGCUAGCGGCAGGCUUAACACAUGCAAGUCGAGGGGUAUAAGUCUUCGGAUUUAGAGACCGGCGCACGGGUGCGUAACGCGUAUGCAAUCUACCUUUUACAGAGGGAUAGCCCAGAGAAAUUUGGAUUAAUACCUCAUAGCAUAGCAGCUUCGCAUGAAGCCACUAUUAAAGUCACAACGGUAAAAGAUGAGCAUGCGUCCCAUUAGCUAGUUGGUAAGGUAACGGCUUACCAAGGCUACGAUGGGUAGGGGUCCUGAGAGGGAGAUCCCCCACACUGGUACUGAGACACGGACCAGACUCCUACGGGAGGCAGCAGUGAGGAAUAUUGGACAAUGGGCGCAAGCCUGAUCCAGCCAUGCCGCGUGCAGGAUGACGGUCCUAUGGAUUGUAAACUGCUUUUAUACGAGAAGAAACACUCCUUCGUGAAGGAGCUUGACGGUAUCGUAAGAAUAAGGAUCGGCUAA